rnacentral:rRNA from 1 species
UGGCUCAGAUUGAACGCUGGCGGCAGGCCUAACACAUGCAAGUCGAACGGAAACAUGUCUAGCUUGCUAGAUGAUGUCGAGUGGCGGACGGGUGAGUAAUGCUUGGGAACUUGCCUUUGCGAGGGGGAUAACAGUUGGAAACGACUGCUAAUACCGCAUAAUGUCUUCGGACCAAACGGGGCUUAGGCUCCGGCGCAAAGAGAGGCCCAAGUGAGAUUAGCUAGUUGGUGAGGUAAAGGCUCACCAAGGCAACGAUCUCUAGCUGUUCUGAGAGGAAGAUCAGCCACACUGGGACUGAGACACGGCCCAGACUCCUACGGGAGGCAGCAGUGGGGAAUAUUGCACAAUGGGGGAAACCCUGAUGCAGCCAUGCCGCGUGUGUGAAGAAGGCCUUCGGGUUGUAAAGCACUUUCAGUUGUGAGGAAAAGUUAGUAGUUAAUACCUGCUAGCCGUGACGUAACAACAG